rnacentral:lncRNA from 1 species
UCCCAAACCAUGCCCCAUCCCGGCAUCUGUGACAUACGGUCACAGAACAUAUGGGCUUAGAGUUCCAUCGGGAAGGGUAUCGUUAGAGGUAGUCGAAGCUACGAAAGUCGCGGCAAAGACGGAGGCUGUGCUGGGAGAUGAGGCAGCCUUCUCUAGCAGCUCCAUACGCUUCGUGGGUGAAUGGUGGCUUCACGUCUGGCCUCAGAAGAACUCUGCCCUUUGCCAGAGGCUGGGUUUGUCCCUGAGCGCCCGCUACGCUGCGGAAAACUUGGGCCAAGGCUUCAAAUAGGACUUAACUCUUGGUCCCGAUACAGCUGUGUAUUCAUUGUGAGUAAACUGAGGCAUGACCGGGGGCCCUGCUGCAUGUGGGGGGCGGGAAGGGGGAGGAAGCCUGACGCUUCCCUGCCAUUGCGAGGGUCUGCUUCGGGUCUGGUUCCUGGAACCGACCCGCAGGUGUCUGUCUCCAGCCUCACUUUGCUGCAAGCACCUUGAAGUCACAGCUUCGAGGCAAAGCUCUUGUGUGUCAAAGGGACGUUCACGCCUGGUUUCCAGGGGCUCGGUCUUCACACACCAAAGGGGAGGGUCCCCGUCAGGGGAAUACCCAAACCAAAAAGGACCAGGAUGUCAGGAGGCCAGGGGACGUGGACAGCUGCAAUGGGCAGGGGAUGCUGGCCUUGCCUUGGGGGGGGGGGUCAGUAAGUACUCAUUUCCCUCUUUGUCUCUCCAGCUUUAGGGUCCUCAAGAGGCUCCUCCUGGGGUCCAGAACAGCCUCCAGGAUGGAUGUGCUCAACCUUCUGUCCUCACAAACCAUUAGACCCAGCCCCUCCCCAAGACUGGGAAAGCCCACGGAGUGUCUUCAUAUUAUUAGUUCUUUUCUAUUUAAUUGCACGAUUGCUUUUUUGCAUAUUUACAUAAACAUA